rnacentral:misc_RNA from 1 species
GUGGCUGUGGGACGUGCUGUGGAUUUAACAAAACUGAAUGGAUAUGAUGAGCUCCUAAGAGAACUCGAAGAGUUGUUCGAUAUCCAGGAAGAGCUCCACGCACGAAAUAAAUGGGAGAUCGUUUUUACAGAUGAUGAAGGUGACAUGAUGCUUAUGGGCGAUUAUCCUUGGUCAGAGUUCUGCAACAUCGCGAAGAGGAUCUUCAUUUGUUCUAGUCAAGACAUGAAAAGUUUCAGUGCAGGAACCAAAUCGCCGUCUUGUUUAGAAAGUGAGACAACUGCUUCAACAUGAAAAUUUGGAAGAGAAUAAAGGUAUCUGCAAUCUUCAAUAAUAACGCGUAGAGGAUGAGACUAUGUCGUCUUGUUGAAUAAGCUUGAUAACAAGCAAAUAGUUGAAUCUUUUUUCAUCAUUUAGUGGAGUUAUUAGUAUUAGAAGCUUGUGUAUAUGUAACUUUAU